GACACGAUGGCCGAGUGGUCUAAGGCGGUAGAUUUAAGCCGCGCCCUGCAGCGCUUAGAUCUCUACUACAGUAAUGUGCGUGGGUUCGAACCCCACUCGUGUCA